GGGCGCUUAGCUCAGGGGGAGAGCGCUUCCCUGACACGGAAGAGGUCAGAAGUUCAAAUCUUCUAGCGCCCACCA
rnacentral:tRNA from 1 species